rnacentral:ncRNA from 2 species
AUCCCCAGCUUGUUUUACGGUUCCCGCACUGCGCGGGUGAAACUGGAAGCCGGUUAAAGGCCGGCGCUGCCCCCGCAACGGUAGGUGAUUUUUCACGAGCCCGGAGACAGGCCCUAAAACUUAGGCGAUU